rnacentral:rRNA from 1 species
UACGAAGGGGGCUAGCGUUGCUCGGAAUUACUGGGCGUAAAGGGAGCGUAGGCGGACAUUUAAGUCAGAGGUGAAAUCCCGGAGCUUAACUUCGGAACUGCCUUUGAUACUGGGUGUCUUGAGUGUGAGAGAGGUAUGUGGAACUCCGAGUGUAGAGGUGAAAUUCGUAGAUAUUAGGAAGAACACCAGUGGCGAAGGCGGCUCACUGGCCCCGGUACUGACGCUGAGGCG